rnacentral:rRNA from 1 species
CCUACGGGAGGCUGCAGUGGGGAAUAUUGGGCAAUGGGCGCAAGCCUGACCCAGCAAUGCCGCGUGAAGGAAGAAGGCUUUCGGGUUGUAAACUUCUUUGACAGGGGGAGAGCAGAAGACGGUACCCUGAAAACAAGCCACAGCUACCUCCGUGCCAGCAGCCGCGGUAAUACGUAGGUGGCAGGCGUUGUCCGGAUUUACUGGGUGUAAGGGGCGUGUAGCCGGGAAGGCAAGUCAGAUGUGAAAUCUGGAGGCUCAACCUCCAAAUUGCAUUUGAAACUGUUUUUCUUGAGUACUGGAGAGGCAGACGGAAUUCCUUGUGUAGCGGUGAAAUGCGUAGAUAUAAGGAGGAACACCAGUGGCGAAGGCGGUCUGCUGGACAGCAACUGACGGUGAGGCGCGAAAGCGUGGGGAGCAAACAGGAUUAGAUACCCCAGUAGUC